rnacentral:rRNA from 1 species
AACAGCCGCGGUAAUUCCAGCUCCAAUAGCGUAUAUUAAAGUUGUUGCAGUUAAAAAGCUCGUAGUUGAAUUUCGGGGUUAGUAGGUUGGUCAUGCCUCUGGUAUGUACUGGUCUCACUGAUUCCUCCUUCCUGAUGAACCUUAAUGCCAUUAAUUUGGUGUUUUGGGGAAUUUGGACUGUUACUUUGAAAAAAUUAGAGUGUUUAAAGCAAGCUAACGCUUGAAUACAUUAGCAUGGAAUAAUGAAAUAGGACGUUCGAUCCUAUUUUGUUGGUUUCUAGGAUUGACGUAAUGAUUAAUAGGGAUAGUUGGGGGCAUUAGUAUUCAAUUGUCAGAGGUGAAAUUCUUGGAUUUAUUGAAGACUAACUACUGCGAAAGCAUUUGCCAAGGAUGUUUUCAUUAAUCAAGAACGAAAGUUAGGGGAUCGAAGACGAUCAGAUACCGUCGUAGUCUUAACCAUAAACUAUGCCGACUAGGGAUCGGAUGAUGUUAAUUUUUUAAUGACUCA